rnacentral:rRNA from 1 species
CCUACGGGAGGCAGCAGUGGGGAAUAUUGGACAAUGGGCGAAAGCCUGAUCCAGCCAUGCCGCGUGUGUGAAGAAGGCCUUCGGGUUGUAAAGCACUUUCAGCGGGGAAGAAAGCCUUGGGGCUAAUACCCUCGAGGAAGGACAUCACCCACAGAAGAAGCACCGGCUAACUCCGUGCCAGCAGCCGCGGUAAUACGGAGGGUGCGAGCGUUAAUCGGAAUUACUGGGCGUAAAGCGCGCGUAGGCGGUCUGAUAAGCCGGUUGUGAAAGCCCCGGGCUCAACCUGGGAACGGCAUCCGGAACUGUCAGGCUAGAGUGCAGGAGAGGAAGGUAGAAUUCCCGGUGUAGCGGUGAAAUGCGUAGAGAUCGGGAGGAAUACCAGUGGCGAAGGCGGCCUUCUGGACUGACACUGACGCUGAGGUGCGAAAGCGUGGGUAGCAAACAGGAUUAGAUACCCUAGUAGUC